AUUUUUAAAAAAAAACAAUGGGGUUACUAUCAUUAGUUCACGGAAUCUGAACCCUCUCCCGGACGCAUGUGUAUCAGUCUCUGGUGGUCUCUCUGGGGGUUGCUCAUGCUGAAGGCUCAUAGUCUUCCUCCCAGGCUUU